rnacentral:lncRNA from 1 species
AAAUAAUUUUAAUCUCUGUGGACGAAUCUUAAAUAUUAAAACGGUGAUCGUGCGCUUGCGAUUUAAAGGUAUUAUUUCUAGCACAUCAAGUUUUUGGCGCCGCUGCCGGGGAUUAAAAUUAAUUUUUCGCUCCUUUAUUUUUAAUCUUUCGGAUUAGCUUGUUUUCUCACUAUUUUUUGUUCUUUAUUUCGAGGAGGAAUAGUCGGGAUUCAUGGAGUAAAGUGAACAAAUUUUGCUCGGAUUUGGAAGCUUGCUUUGGUAUCUCGUAUCUCUCCACUUUUUUCGUCUUUAUUUAGAAAAUCACAAACAAAUUUGAAAAUUGAAAAACACAAACAAAUUAAAAAUUUAAAAUCCAAAAAUAUUAGUUAGAAUUACAUAUGUGUUGCAUCAUGCAUUUUUACACUUAGGGCACAUCAUUUAGAUUUUAAUUUUUGUUUUUAAAUUUUCG